UUUUAAAAAAAUUCAUCUAUUUGUAUCAUUAAAAACUAAUAUGGUUGAUAAAAUAACCAGAUAGUGACAUGUGACGUGUCAUGUGUAUCUUAUGCUAACGUAUAUGGAUCAAUUUUUAACAGUAAAAAAGGAUAAAACUUUUAAUA
rfam:Gossypium arboreum cultivar AKA8401 contig_3233_11, whole genome shotgun sequence.